GGCCUGAUGGUCUAGUAGUAUGAUUCCUUGUUAGGGCAUCCAGUUGGAGUCGUUUCGAGGAGGUCCCGGGUUCAAUUCCCGGUCAGGCCC